rnacentral:lncRNA from 1 species
AUCGCGGGAUGCUACUCUCUCUCUCUUCCUUUUCUUGGUCUGAUCGUCAUUGGGCUUCUUCCCAACCUGCCAUGGAAGGCACAAAAGUUGUCUCAAAACCCAAGAGUAUUCAACUUGGGUAUUCAUCUUGUUCUCGUUGGAAGUGUUUGGCCUGAAAGCAGCUAAGGUCUUGUAGCCUUAUAUAUUGAGUCUCUUGAGUGUGUUAAGAAAAAUCUUGUCGCCACUCAUAACCAUCACGUUGCAAGGAGAACGGUUCUCAUGACGUCUCCACAUUUCAUAAAAAAAAAAAAUAUUUUUAUUUCGUUUGAUUUUGUUGUUUAUUUGCUAAUGGUUAUAUGCAAAAGUCUUUAUCAAAGCAUAUUUUAUGAUGUAAAAGUCUCCCUUCACACGCCCAUAAAAAAUCUAUUAUGAACUUUCAAAUUUUGUUUGCCCAAAAAUAGAUCAAGUUUCCAUUCAUGCAUAAGCAUA